GAUGAACGCUGGCGGCGUGCCUAAUACAUGCAAGUCGAGCGAACGGACGAGGAGCUUGCUUCUCUGAUGUUAGCGGCGGACGGGUGAGUAACACGUGGAUAACCUACCUAUAAGACUGGGAUAACUUCGGGAAACCGGAGCUAAUACCGGAUAAUAUUUUGAACCGCAUGGUUCAAUAGUGAAAGACGGUCUUGCUGGCACUUAUAGAUGGAUCCGCGCUGCAUUAGCUAGUUGGUAAGGUAACGGCUUACCAAGGCAACGAGGCGUAGCCGACCUGUGAGGGGGAUCGGCCACCCUGGAGCGGGGACACGGACCAGACGCCUACGGGAGGCAGCAGUAGGGAAUCUUCCGCAAUGGGCGAAAGCCUGACGGAGCAACGCCGCGUGAGUUAUGAAGGUCUUCGGAUCGUAAAACUCUGUUAUUAGGGAAGAACAUAUGUGUAAGUAACUGUGCACAUCUUGACGGUACCUAAUCAGAAAGCCACGGCUAACUACGUG
rnacentral:rRNA from 1 species